rnacentral:tRNA from 1 species
CAAAGGUUGGCUCAGUGGGUAGAGCUAAGAGCUCGCGACCGGGAGGUCCGGGUUCGAAUUUCGGGUUUUUUA